AAACCUUCGGGGGUAAACGGACAGAGCCCGUGAAUCCGGGCGCGCGGAAUUCAGGACCGACGCGGCGGCGCGUCGAUUCGAUAUUUCCGCCGCCGACCGUUAAUCGGUGCGGACGUCGCGACCCGUUCGUCGUCGGUCUGACGAGUCGCGCAUUCGGUUCGNACGCGCGUACGCUCUCGCGGGCGUCGAUGGCGCGGAUCUCGGGCCGUUUCGCGGACGGUAGCUGCAGCGCGGGUAUUCGACGCGGCGACGCGCGAAGUUUCGUACGCGCUCGGGCGCUCGCGUCGACGCCGGUCAGCGACGAAUCUUCGGGCCUCUUUCCGACCCGUCUUGAAACACGGACCAAGGAGUCUAACGUGCGCGCGAGUCGCGGGGUAUUCGAGCCGUUACGCGGUUCGUCACUAUACGAAACCCGUAUACGUACGUUGUGCGAAGGCGUAAUGAAAGUGAGGUGACNNNNNNCUCGCGUCACCGGGGAAGACGGUGUUCCGAGUACACAUCUCUCGGUCGCUCGUAUCCGAGACCGGACACCCGCAUUCCCAGGGCGUCCCGUUCGUCCGUCGGCGGCGCUGGAGCGCGUCGGCCGUCGACGAACUGGGGCGCACCUAUAGCGUGCACGUUGGUACCCGAAAGAUGGUGAACUAUGCCCGGCCAGGAUGAAGUCAGGGGAAACCCUGAUGGAGGUCCGCAGCGAUUCUGACGUGCAAAUCGAUCGUCUGAGCUGGGUAUAGGGGCGAAAGACUAAUCGAACCUUCUA
rnacentral:rRNA from 1 species